GACGAACGCUGGCGGCGUGCCUAAUACAUGCAAGUUGAGCGCUGAAGGUUGGUACUUGUACCAACUGGAUGAGCAGCGAACGGGUGAGUAACGCGUGGGGAAUCUGCCUUUGAGCGGGGGACAACAUUUGGAAACGAAUGCUAAUACCGCAUAAAAACUUUAAACACAAGUUUUAAGUUUGAAAGAUGCAAUUGCAUCACUCAAAGAUGAUCCCGCGUUGUAUUAGCUAGUUGGUGAGGUAAAGGCUCACAAAGGCGAUGAUACAUAGCCGACCUGAGAGGGUGAUCGGCCACAUUGGGACUGAGACACGGCCCAAACUCCUACGGGAGGCAGCAGUAGGGAAUCUUCGGCAAUGGACGAAAGUCUGACCGAGCAACGCCGCGUGAGUGAAGAAGGUUUUCGGAUCGUAAAACUCUGUUGGUAGAGAAGAACGUUGGUGAGAGUGGAAAGCUCAUCAAGUGACGGUAACUACCCAGAAAGGGACGGCUAACUACGUG
rnacentral:rRNA from 1 species